AAAAAGUUUUGUGAAAAGAAUGGUUCAACAUCAGCAAGAAAUUGUAAAGAAUUGCAAUUGCAUACCUAAUUUGACCCAAAGAGAGAAAAAGAUAAGAGAUAAAUAAGGAACCAAAAAGAAGUGGACCCAAUCAGUUACAAAGCUUCAAGCAUAGUCAGGAAUCACUCUUUUCAGGAAUGUAACUGGUUGAGAAUCUUCAGGGGCAAGCUCAUCAAAAGCAAUGUAAUUUUGCUCCUUGUCGUAAACACGACACAUUGUCAUUGUCGUCUUCAUUAAAUGCCAAUUCCAUGUAGCUUCAUUCAGAUACUGUUAACAGAAUAGAUGGAGUUUGAACAUAUCAAUCACUUUCAAAAAGUAAAUUGAUUGUACCUUUCCCCAAUUCUCUUGAACAGAUUUAUGAGCUGCCAGUAGAUUAUAGCUUGGUAUCCUUGAAGAAGUAUGGUGGGGGAUGUGGAUAUUAAUGUCAUGACAGAGGACCUCAAUCCUG
rnacentral:misc_RNA from 1 species